CCUACGGGCGGCAGCAGUGGGGGAUAUUGCACAAUGGGGGAAACCCUGAUGCAGCGACGCCGCGUGUGGGAAGACGGUCUUCUGGAUUGUAAACCACUGUCCCCAGGGACGAAAAUGACGGUACCUGGGGAGGAAGCUCCGGCUAACUACGUGCCAGCAGCCGCGGUAAUACGUAGGGAGCAAGCGUUGUCCGGAAGUACUGGGUGUAAAGGGAGCGUAGGCGGGGAUGCAAGUUGGGUGUCAAAACUACCGGCUCAACCGAUAGUCGCACUCAAAACUGCAGCUCGUGAGUGAAGUAGAGGCAGGCGGAAUUCCUAGUGUAGCGGUGAAAUGCGUAGAUAUUAGGAGGAACACCAGUGGCGAAGGCGGCCUGCUGGGCUUUUACUGACGCUGAGGCUCGAAAGUGUGGGGAGCAAACAGGAUUAGAUACCCGGGUAGUC
rnacentral:rRNA from 1 species